UCUUCAUUUCAUAUGGCUAUUUAUGCAGGAAAGAAUUACUCUGGAAGAGUAUACUCUCCUAUCCUUUUUUGGGAAUCAGUAUAGGAAUUAUCAGAAACAAGUUUGGACCGGAAUACCCGGAAUCAAAGGAUACAUGGGUCUAAUGCCCUGGAUACAAGAGUUGGAUGACUGCUUGGAUAAAAGCCAUCCAUAUUAAACUAAUAUACUGAAAUUCUUGAUCAUUAUUUUCUUAAUUUUGAUACGUAACAUAGUUUUUUUUUGGAUAUUUUUGUUGUAACAAUACAUCACUAUAAUUUAAAGAAAAUUAAACAAAACUAGAUAACUAGAUUUUUUUUAAUAAGUAAACACUAUAAUUGAUUAACUCUUUGAUCUCCUAUAUAUACUAAAUAUUUGCUUCUUGUGUCAGAACUUUGGUGAAUUUAUUCAUCCUAGAGGAACAUCAAAUGUUUGAAAAUGCUUUCUCGGUUUUUAGAGGACCGUUGUAAUUUCUUGUUUGAGCUUAUAUUUGUUGCUCGUACCUUGUCCAUAACAACGUGUUUCAUUUAACAGUUACUUGUGAUUAAAAUCCGUCUUAAAAUGAUGUUUAAUUUUUGUAAAAUUGUCACGUUUGUAUUAGCGUUAGUAUUGAAAUAAUACCUUUUUUAUAAUCUUUUC